GAUGAACGCUGACAGAAUGCUUAACACAUGCAAGUCAACUUGAACUUCGGUUUGGGUGGCGGACGGGUGAGUCACGCGUAAAGAACUUGCCUCACAGCUAGGGACAACAUUUGGAAACGAAUGCUAAUACCUGAUAUUAUGAUUUUAGGGCAUCCUAGAAUUAUGAAAGCUAUAUGCGCUGUGAGAGAGCUUUGCGUCCCAUUAGCUAGUUGGAGAGGUAACGGCUCACCAAGGCGAUGAUGGGUAGCCGGCCUGAGAGGGUGAACGGCCACAAGGGGACUGAGACACGGCCCUUACUCCUACGGGAGGCAGCAGUGGGGAAUAUUGGACAAUGGACCAAGAGUCUGAUCCAGCAAUUCUGUGUGCACGAUGAAGUUUUUCGGAAUGUAAAGUGCUUUCAGUUGGGAAGAAAAAAAUGACGGUACCAACAGAAGAAGUGACGGCUAAAUACGUG
rnacentral:rRNA from 1 species